rnacentral:rRNA from 1 species
GUACGGAACCGACCCGGGGACCGCCGGGGCAACCCGGCGCCCCGAGACGGGCGAACCACGGUGAAAUGACGGAUCGUCGGCCCCGCGCCGGCGACUCGCCGAAUGAGUUCUGACCUAUCAACUCGAGACGGCGGGGUAGAGGCCCGCCGCGGUAACGACGGGUAACGGGGAAUCAGGGUUCGAUUCCGGAGAGGGAGCCCGAGAAACGGCUACCACUUCCAAGGAAGGCAGCAGGCGCGCAACUUACCCUAAUCUCGAUUCGAGGAGGUAGUGACAAGAAAUACCGAUGCGGGGACCCUACGGGGUGCCGCGUUCGGAAUGAGUACGAUUCGAACCACCUAACGAGGAACGAUCGGAGGGCAAGUCUGGUGCCAGCAGCCGCGGUAAUUCCAGCUCCAAUAGCGUACGUUAAAGUUGCUGCAGUUAAAAAGCUCGUGUAUAUCUUAUCUCGCCGCCCGUCGCGUAGGCGGACGGAGGGAUGGAUGAGGUUACCUG